AACAUUCAAGAAAGGCAGCAGGCGCAAAUACAUCCUGAACCAGAAGUACGUACAAUAUAACCGAAUACAGGCUUGUUCUGUACUGAAUGAGUACAUGUAAAAUACUACGAGGACAUUGAGGGCAAGUCUGGUGCCAGCAGCGCGUAAUUCCAGCUCCAAUAGCGUAUAUUAAAGUGUGCAGUAAAAGCUCGUAGUGAACUUUGGGCCUGGGCGGACGGUCUACCUAUGGUAAGCACUGUUGCGGCCGGGUCUUUCAUCUGGCUAGCCCUCGGGCGAACCAGGACGAUUACUUUGAGGAAAUUAGAGUGUUCAAAGCAGGCCUUUGCUCGGAUAUAUUAGCAUGGAAUAAUAGAAUAGGACGCAUGGUUCUAUUUUGUUGGUUUCUAGGACCAUCGUAAUGAUUAAUAGGGACGGUCGGGGGCAUCAGUAUUCAGUCGUCAGAGGUGAAAUUCUUGGAUUGACUGAAGACUAACUACUGCGAAAGCAUUUGCCAAGGACGUUUUCAUUAAUCAAGAACGAAAGUUAGGGGAUCGAAGAUGAUCAGAUACCGUCGUAGUCUUAACCAUAAACUAUGCCGACUAGGGAUCGGGUGGUGCUACUUUGCCCACUCGGCACCUUACGAGAAAUCAAAGUUUUUGGGUUCUGGGGGGAGUAUGGUCGCAAGGCUGAAACUUAAAGGAAUUGACGGAAGGGCACCACCAGGAGUGGAGCCUGCGGCUUAAUUUGACUCAACACGGGGAAACUCACCAGGUCCAGACGUAAUAAGGAUUGACAAGUUAGAGACUUCUCUUGAUCUUACGGGUGGUGGUGCAUGGCCGUUUUUAGUCCUUGGAGUGAUUUGUCUGCUUAAUUGCGAUAACGGACGAGACCUUAACCUGCUAAAUAGGGCUGCGAGCAUCUGCUCGGGUGCUCUUCUUAGAGGGACUAUGGGUAUCAAACCCAUGGAAGUUUGAGGCAACAACAGGUCUGUGAUGCCCUUAGACGUUCUGGGCCGCACGCGCGCUACACUGACGGAGCCAGCAAGUCCAACCUUGGUCGAGAGGCCCGGGUAAUCUCGUGAAACUCCGUCGUGCUGGGGAUAGAGCAUUGUAAUUUUUGCUCUUCAACGAGGAAUUCCUAGUAAGCGCAAGUCAUCAGCUUGCGUUGAUUACGUCCCUGCCCUUUGUACACACCGCCCGUCGCUACUACCGAUUGAAUGGCUUAGUGAGGCUUCAAGAUUGGCGCCGCGGGAGGGGCAACUUCCCCAUGGGCCCGGGGUUUACCG
rnacentral:rRNA from 1 species